rnacentral:rRNA from 1 species
AACGCAAACAGUGAAUGCCUUGGUGCAAGAAUGCCUAAGAAGGACGCGCAUGACUGCGAUAAUCGUCGGGGAGGAGUCACGAUCCAUCGAUCCGGCGGUGUCCGAAUGGGGAAACCCGGCCGAGUUCAUACUCGGUCACUCACAUUCCAAAAGAUGCUCUCACGAGUUUUUACUAAAAUGUGUAGAGGGAACCGUCCGAACUGAAACAUCUAAGUAGGGCGAGGAAAAGAAAUCAAUUGAUAUUCCGUCAGUAGCGGAGAGCGAAAUCGGAAAAGCCUAAACCCUGACCAUGCUUGCAUGGAAAGGGGGUUGCAGGACCCCAAUUAUGGGAUUUAUUUGAGUAGUUAAACGGUAUGGAAUUGCCGGCCAUAGAGAGUGAAAGCCUCGUAAACGAAACGUAAAUAGACCCUAGGGAGUUCCUAAGUACUACGGUGUAAAUACACUGUGGGAAUCCGGGGGAUCCAUCCUCCAAGGCUAAAUACAACUUGCAACCGAUAGUGAACAAGUACCGUGAGGGAAAGGCGAAAAGAAGAGCGGGACGCUCAGUGAAAUAGAACCUGAAACUGUUUGCGGACAAACCGAUAGAGCUCUGUAAGGAGUGAUAUCGUGCCUAUUGAAGAAUGAGCCGGCGAGUUGCCGUUUACUGCAUGAGUUUAACCCUGCAUUGCAGGGGGAAGCGUAGCGAAAGCGAGUUUUAAAAAGCGAAUAGCAGUUGGCGGCAGACCCGAAACCAGGUGAUCUACCCAUGAGCAGGGUGAACACUGACGAAAGUCAGUGGGAAGCCCGAACCGGUGAUUGUUGCAAUAAUCUCGGAUGACUUGUGGGUAGCGGUAAAAUGCCAAACGAACCUGGAGAUAGCUGGUUCUCCCCGAAAGGUCUAUAGGGACCGUGUCCUUCUAAAAUUUAAGAGUGGUAGAGCUACUAGAUGGGUGAGAGAGCCGUAAGGCAAUUUCACUUAACUAAACUCCAAAUAAUCUUAAUAGUGUAGGGCAGACACCCGCAUCGGGCUAAGCUGAUGCGAGGAAAGGGAAACAACCCAGACUCUCAGUUAAGGCCUCUAAAUCUAACUUAAGUUUUAAAGGAAGUUCGAAACCAAAAACAGCCAGGAGGUUGGCUUAGAAGCAGCCACCCUUUAAAGAUAGCGUAACAGCUCACUGGUUAAGGUUUUGGGCGCCUAAAAUGUAUCGAGGAUUAAAGUUAGUGCCGAAUCUAGAGAUUUAUCUGUUUCUUCGGAAACAGGUGAGUGGUAGGGGAGCGUUCCAUUUGCAUUGAAGCUUUUCUGUAAGGAAAGGUGGAGCGGAUGGAAGUGAGAAUGUCGGCAUGAGUAGCGUACUAUUACCGUGAGAAUCGGUAACGCCGUAUAUCCAAGGAUUCCGUCGGAAGGUUCGUCCGCGACGGGUAAGUCGGCACCUAAGGCAAGCCCCGAUAUUAUCGGGGGUAGUCGAUGGAUGACUGGUUAAAAUUCCAGUACUUGUUUUAAAUCGUUUAUGCCCGCAAGGGUAUUAUCAACUGGGGACUGACCAGGUUGGAUGGUUGAAGCCCUCUUAACGAAUGAGGGUAUAAGCUAUUAGAUAGUUCUGAUUGGAAAAUCCGUCGGAACGUUAAGUCGAGUAGUUAUGUAAAAAGGGCAGAGAUGCUCUUGAUUUCAUCCCAUUCGGUCUGCUAGAAAAGGUUCGCAGUGAGAUUUAAGGCAAGCCGUACCGCAAACCGACACAGGUGGAUUGGUAGAGAAUACUAAGGCGAGCGAGAGAAGAAGGUUUAAGGAACUCGGCAAACAAACUGGACGUAACUUAGGGAGAUGUCCUUCCCGUUUUUCGGGAUACAACAAAUGAUUUCUGAUCGACUGUUUAUCAAAAACACAGGUCCGUGCAAAGCUGAAAAGCGAAGUAUACGGGCUGACGCCUGCCCAGUGCCGGUAAGUUAAGUGGAUGGGUGAUUGCAGCAAUGUGAUUGCUUUGAAAUGAAGCUCCGGUAAACGGCAGCAGUAACUAUAACUGUUCUACGGUAGCGAAGUUCCUUGUCGGGUAAGUUCCGACCCGCACGAAUGGCGUCACGAGUUAGAAACUGUCUUGAGCCUUCACUCGGCGAAAUUGCGAUGGCUGUGAAGACGCGGCCUAUUUCCACCAGGACAAAAAGACCCCGUGGAGCUUUACUGUAGCUUGGCAUUGGUUUGUGUGGCUCAAUUGUUUAGAGUAGGAGGGAGCGUAAGCGAUCUUGAAACACCUCCCUUUGAUACAUGUCAAACCUUACUUGUCAUCGAUGAAUACUCGGUGGAGGAAAGUGUCAGGUGGGCAGUUUUACUGGGGCGGUACCUUGCCAAAGGGUAACGCAAGGACACAAAGGUUGGCUUAGUACGGAUGGACAUCGUACCUAAAUGUGUAAAGGCAUAAGCCAGCUUGAUAGCGAGAGAGACAUCUCUAGCUAGUGCGAAAGCAGGUCUUAGUGAUCCUCCGAUCCGCUAUGGUUGCGGACGGAGCUUAAUGGAUAAAAGCUACCCCGGGGAUAACAGAGUAGUCGCGCCCGAGCGUCCAUAGCGACGGCGCGGAUCGCUACCUCGAUGUCGGCUCAUCGCAUCCUGGGGGUGGAGAAGCUCCCAAGGGUUGGUCUGUUCGCCCAUUAAAGCGGUACGUGAGCUGGGUUCAGAACGUCGUAAGACAGUUCGGACUCUAUCCGGUGGAAACGUUUAAAUCUUGAAGGGAGCUGGCCUCAGUACGAGAGGACCAGGCUGGGGGAAUCUCUAGUGUGCCGGUUGUCACGUCAGUGGCAAUGCCGGGUAGCUACAUUCCCAAGAGAUAACCGCUGAAAGCAUCUAAGUGGGAAACUCGCCCUAAGAUUAGGAUUUAUUAUUAGACCCCAGGGAGAAGACCUGGUAUUUUCGGCAGGCGGUGGAAGCCCUGUAAAGGGUUAAGCUAACCUGAUUCGAAUGGUCGAUUUCAGAUUUAU